rnacentral:rRNA from 1 species
CGGCUCAGUAACACGUGGAUAACCUACCCUUGAGACGGGGAUAAACCCGGGAAACUGGGUAUAAUACCCGAUAGAUCUCGACUGCUGGAAUGCAUCGAGCUUGAAAGCUCUGGCGCUCAAGGAUGGGUCUGCGGCCUAUCAGGUAGUAGUGGGUGUAGCGUACCUACUAGCCUACGACGGGUACGGGUUGUGAGAGCAAGAGCCCGGAGAUGGAUUCUGAGACACGAAUCCAGGCCCUACGGGGUGCAGCAGGCGCGAAAACUUUACAAUGCUGGAAACAGCGAUAAGGGGACCUCGAGUGCCAGGUUACAAAUCUGGCUGUCGUGAUGCCUAAAAAGCAUUGCAUAGCAAGGGCCGGGCAAGACCGGUGCCAGCCGCCGCGGUAACACCGGCGGCUCGAGUGGUAACCGUUAUUAUUGGGUCUAAAGGGUCUGUAGCCGGCCGGAUAAGUCUCUUGGGAAAUCUGGCAGCUUAACUGUCAGGCUUUCAGGAGAUACUGUCUGGCUCGAGGCCGGGAGAGGUGAGAGGUACUUCAGGGGUAGGGGUGAAAUCUUGUAAUCCUUGAAGGACCACCAGUGGCGAAGGCGUCUCACCAGAACGGACCUGACGGCA